AGUGAACGCUGGCGGUAGGCCUAACACAUGCAAGUCGAACGGAAGCACAGUAAGAGCUUGCUCUUACGGGUGGCGAGUGGCGGACGGGUGAGGAAUACAUCGGAAUCUACUUUUUCGUGGGGGUUAACGUAGGGGAACUUACGCUAAUACCGCAUACGACCUACGGGUGAAAGCAGGGGAUCUUCGGACCUUGCGCGAUUGAAUAAGCCGAUGUCGGAUUAGCUAGUUGGCGGGGUAAAGGCCCACCAAGGCGACGAUCCGUAGCUGGUCUGAGAGGAUGGUCAGCCACACUGGAACUGAGACACGGUCCAGACUACUAAGGGAGGCAGCAGAAGGAGAAAUUGGGCAAUAGGCGCAAACCUUAUCCAGCCAUACCGCGUGAGUGAAAAAGGCCUUCGGGUUGGAAAGCCCUUUUGUUGGGAAAGAAAAGCAGCAGGUUAAUACGCCGCUGUUCUGACGGUACCCGAAAAAUAAGCACCGGCUAAGUUCGUG
rnacentral:rRNA from 1 species